rnacentral:lncRNA from 1 species
CAUGUCUGAGGGCCCUCAUGGGGUUUUUGAUUAUGUGAUUACUUGGCCGUUUUUUUAAUGAUUAUUUGAUUAUUAAGCCAAAUAUUUCAUGAUUAUUUGAUUACCUAGGACUGUAUUUUUAGUUUAUGAUUAUUUGAUUACUAAAGAUAAGCAAAUAUUUAAUGAUUAUGUGAUUAUAUUGGCAAAAAAAUGGUGAUUAUGUGAUUACUAGGACCCCCCCAUGAGGGGCCUCAUAAAUA